AUACCUUACAAACUAACCCUACGAUAGAAUGCCUUGAACAUUUGUUAGGUUUGUGAGAUACGAAUAUACAUAGUAUGUACGGAAUACAAAUAUACAUUUUCUUUUUUUUUUUUGUUAGAGCGAGAGCUCAGUCAGAUUCUUGUGAAUACAUUGUAUGUUAGUGAAUAUUAUUAACAUGGAGGAAAAAGGCAUUUAUCGGGGAACACAUUUAUACUUCGAUUGUUGUGUACGAGACGAGAUAAACAUAGAUACACAGAGGGUGUUACAAAAGAAAAAAAAGAAACUUCAUUAAUGAAGAUAAUGAAUGACAGAUAACAUUGAUUAUUACAAUUAUUUGUUUUAUAAAAUAUUUUUACUUUUGAUUUGUUGUUCAUUUAAUUGUCUUUUACAUUGGUGAUUUUGUAAUUAUUUAUUUUAUAAUAAUACCUGUUAUAUAUUGUUUGAUAAAUACUUGAAUUGUAUUUUAUUUCAAUUAGAAGAUAACUAAAUGAUACUUAUUCUAGUAUUUUUAAGUAGAAAAGGGGUUCCCCCAACGUACACUGUAGUGAAUCGCGGGACGCAAGUGGCGAAUGGAUAAUUAUCCGCGAUUUUGAUUUGGGAUGGCCCUGUUAUAGAACUCUAAAGGUUCUAACACUGGAGCGUCAAGAUCCACUGAGAGUAUUCCGAGUGGUGACAGAUAACCAACGCCGUCCCAAGAGGACCCAGUCUGGGAUGCUAAGGAAUGUAUUAUUAAGUCGUUUUCGGAUUGUUCAAAGUUUGAAAUUGUUUUUUUCAUGAGAAGCGAGACGUAUCUCAUCAGCGGGACAGUAUUUGUGUCGCUGUAAAUAAAGUUAUUUGAGAAUCUUUUGGUCCGGGUCUCAAAGUUUUUACCAGCACAGA